CGCUUCCUGUUAUUUACAGAUUGGAGGUCGUUCCUGCUCAAUGAUGCAUGCAUUCAAUAGCAGCGGUAUACCUGACCGUUCAAAGGUAGUGUAAUUUCUAGCCCUUUAAUUGUGGGCCAAUGAAUGGAUUGACGGGUUGCAGUUGUCUCGUUUGUGUUUGUUUGAAUUUAACUUUUAGGUGAAGAGGCCUGAAUUAUAUAGGGGGACGAAAAGACCCUGUCAAACUUUAAUUUAACUACAUCGCUGCUUUGGUUGUGCUUGUGUUGUAUAAGUUUUAGUUGGGGCAACUGGGAAGGAUAAAUACUUUUAAGGAAAAUUUUAGGUGCUUUGUUAAUAUGAAAAUCCAGAAUAUUCUGAAUACAUAAUAAGUUACUGGAGGGAUAACAGCAUAAUUCUUUUGGAGAGUACUUAUUGAUAAAAGAGUUUGUGACCUCGAUGUUGAAUUGAAGCUAUCUUCUAGGUCGUAGCAGCUUACGAAGUGGGUCUGUUCGCCCUUUAAUGUUUCCCA
rnacentral:rRNA from 1 species